CAGCAGCCACGGUAAUACAGAGGGUGCAAGCGUUAAUCGGAAUUACUGGGCGUAAAGCGCGCGUAGGUGGUUUGUUAAGUUGGAUGUGAAAUCCCCGGGCUCAACCUGGGAACUGCAUCCAAAACUGGCAAGCUAGAGUAUGGUAGAGGGUGGUGGAAUUUCCUGUGUAGCGGUGAAAUGCGUAGAUAUAGGAAGGAACACCAGUGGCGAAGGCGACCACCUGGACUGAUACUGACACUGAGGUGCGAAAGCGUGGGGAGCAAACAGGAUUAGAGACCCCGGUAGUCCCUGUCUCUUAUAC
rnacentral:rRNA from 1 species